UGGGGAAUAUUGGGCAAUGGGCGCAAGCCUGACCCAGCAACGCCGCGUGAAGGAAGAAGGCUUUCGGGUUGUAAACUUCUUUUGUCAGGGACGAAGCAAGUGACGGUACCUGACGAAUAAGCCACGGCUAACUACGUGCCAGCAGCCGCGGUAAUACGUAGGUGGCAAGCGUUAUCCGGAUUUACUGGGUGUAAAGGGCGUGUAGGCGGGACUGCAAGUCAGAUGUGAAAACCACGGGCUCAACCUGUGGCCUGCAUUUGAAACUGUAGUUCUUGAGUACUGGAGAGGCAGACGGAAUUCCUAGUGUAGCGGUGAAAUGCGUAGAUAUUAGGAGGAACACCAGUGGCGAAGGCGGUCUGCUGGACAGCAACUGACGCUGAGGCGCGAAAGCGUGGGGAGCAAACAGG
rnacentral:rRNA from 1 species